rnacentral:rRNA from 1 species
GAUGAACGCUAGCGGCAGGCCUAAUACAUGCAAGUCGAACGGGAUCUGAGGGUAGCUUGCUACCCGAUUUGAGAGUGGCGCACGGGUGCGUAACGCGUGAGCAACCUACCCAUAUCAGGGGGAUAGCCCGAAGAAAUUCGGAUUAACACCCCAUAAUAAUACGCUAACAAAUGGUGAUGUAUUUAAAUAUUUAUAGGAUAUGGAUGGGCUCGCGUGACAUUGGCUAGUUGGUAAGGGCACGGCUUACCAAGGCGACGACGUCUUGGGGCUCUGAAAGGAGAAUCCCCCACACUGGUACUGCGACACGGACCACACUCCUACGGGGGGCAGCAGUAAGGAAUAUUGGUCAAUGGGCGCAAGCCUGAACCAGCCAUGCCGCGUGCAGGAUGACUGCCCUAUGGGUUGUAAACUGCUUUUGUUAGGGAAUAAACCUUCUUACGUGUAAGGAGCUGAAUGUACCUAAAGAAUAAGGAUCGGCUAACUCCGUGCCAGCAGCCGCAGUAA